AAGAAAGUAAGAAAGGGCGUAUGGCGGAUGCCUAGGCUCACGGAGGCGAUGAAGGACGUGAUAAGCUGCGAUAAGCUUCGGGUAGGUGCAAAUAACCCUUGAUCCGAAGAUUUCCGAAUGGGACAACCUAGCCGUCUGAAGGACGGUUACUCUUACCAAGUAAGAGAGCUAACGCAGGGAACUGAAACAUCUUAGUACCUGCAGGAAGAGAAAAUAAAUGAAUGAUUCCCCCAGUAGUGGCGAGCGAACGGGGAACAGCCCAAACCAGUGGCGUCGCAAGGCGUGGCUGGGGUUGUAGGACCGCGACAUUGUAUGCAAAUCGUGAACAGAACACUUUGGAAAAUGUGACCAUAGACGGUGAUAGUCCAGUAUGUGAAGCGAAAUGCAGCAUAGCGGUAUCCUGAGUAACGCGGGACACGAGGAAUCCUGCGCGAAUCUGCCGGGACCAUCCGGUAAGGCUAAAUACUCCCGUGAGACCGAUAGCGAACGAGUACUGUGAAGGAAAGGUGAAAAGAACCCCGAGCAGGGGAGUGAAAUAGUUCCUGAAACCAUACGCCUACAAGCGGUCGGAGCAUCGUAAGAUGUGACGGCGUGCCUUUUGCAUAAUGAUCCUACGAGUUACCGUCACUGGCGAGGUUGAGUGUCAUGAGACACGUAGCCGCAGUGAAAGCGAGCCUGAAGAGGGCGCACAGUCAGUGGGGGUAGACGCGAAACCAAGUGAUCUACACUUGGCCAGGAUGAAGUCCCGGUAACACGGGAUGGAGGUCCGCACCAAUAAGCGUUGAAAAGCUUCUGGAUGAGCCGAGUGUAGGAGUGAAAGGCCAAUCAAACUUGGAGAUAGCUCGUACUCCCCGAAAGGCAUUUAGGUGCCGCGUCGGAUGGUCACCGUGAGAGGUAGAGCGACCGAUAGGACAAGAGGGCUUCACCGCCUAUCGAGUCCUGACGAACUCCGAAUGCUCACGGUCUGCAGUCCGGCAGUAAGGGGGCGGGUGCUAAGGUCCGUCCCCGAGAGGAGAAGAAUCCAGACCGCCGUCUAAGGUCCCGGAGUUCUGCCUGAGUUAGUCUAACGAAGUCUGGUCCCUAUGACAGCUAGGAUGUUGGCUUGGAAGCAGCCAUUCAUUCAAAGAGUGCGUAACAGCUCACUAGUCGAGGGUCCGGGCAUGGAUAAUAAUCGGGUAUAAGGCAGACACCGAAGGCGCGGGAUAGCAAUUAUAAAAGUAUCGGUAGGGGAGCAUACUCACAGCGUCGAAUGGUGUACGUAAGUUAUCCUGGAGCGGUGAGUAAAGCAAAUGUAGGAAUAAGUAACGAUAAGGAGGGUUAGAUUCCCUCCCGCUGUAAGACCAAGGUUUCCCGGGCAAUGCCAAUCAGCCCGGGGUCAGUCGGGUCCUAAGUCUAAGCCGAACGGCGAUGGCGAUGGCAGAGACGGUUAAUAUUCCGUCACUGCCGCAUGGGGCGACGUGGAGACGGAGCAGUGAAACCACCGCGGGGCGACGGAAGUCCCCGUUGAAG
rnacentral:rRNA from 1 species